rnacentral:rRNA from 1 species
AAGAAUGAGAAGUCGUAAUAAGGUUUCCGUAGGUGAAGCUGCAGAAGGAUUAUUA